rnacentral:tRNA from 1 species
UCCUUAGUGGCUUAGAUGGUAAAGAAUCUAUCUGCAAUGCAGGAGAUUCAGGUUCAAUCCCUGGGUCAGGAA